rnacentral:rRNA from 1 species
GUAGUCAUAUGCUUGUCUCAAAGAUUAAGCCAUGCAUGUCUAAGUAUAAGCAAAUUUAUACCGUGAAACUGCGAAUGGCUCAUUAAAUCAGUUAUCGUUUAUUUGAUAGUACCUUACUACUUGGAUAACCGUGGUAAUUCUAGAGCUAAUACAUGCUAAAAGCCCCGACUUCGGAAGGGGUGUAUUUAUUAGAUUAAAAACCAAUGCCCUUCGGGGCUCUUUGGUGAUUCAUAAUAACUUAACGAAUCGCAUGGCCUUGCGCCGGCGAUGGUUCAUUCAAAUUUCUGCCCUAUCAACUUUCGAUGGUAGGAUAGUGGCCUACCAUGGUAUCAACGGGUAACGGGGAAU